AGGACAAACGCUGGCGGCGUACCUAAGACAUGCAAGUCGAACGAGGUUUCCGGCUUCGGUUGGAAAGCGAGUGGCGAACGGGUGAGUAACACGUAGGAACCUGUCAUUCAGUGGGGGAUACCGCUGGGAAACCGGCGCUAAUACCGCAUACGGUCCCGGAAACGGGAGCAAAGCCUUUCGAGGCGCUGAAUGAGGGGCCUGUGGCCGAUUAGCUAGUUGGUGGGGUAAAGGCCUACCAAGGCGACGAUCGGUAGCUGGUCUGAGAGGAUGGUCAGCCACACUGGGACUGAGACACGGCCCAGACUCCUACGGGAGGCAGCAGUUAGGAAAUUUUCACAAUGGGGGAAACCCUGAUGGAGUAACGCCGCGUGGAGGAUGACGGCCUCGGUUGUAAACUCCUUUUCUGUGGGAAGAGUAGAAGACGGUACCACAGGAAGAAGCAUCGGCUAACUACGUGCCAGCAGCCGC
rnacentral:rRNA from 1 species